CGGCGGACUCGUAUAAGAAAGCGGUGGACUCAGCAAUUCAGAAACUCAGAAGCCAAGAAGGAAAUCACAAUGAAGACACCGACGAUGCAGCUGAAACGCCGUCAACUCCAAAAACACCAAUAGAGCUGGCGAUUGAUUUCAUUCUUCAUGAUUUUGAAAUGGCAGAAGUUGAGCCAAUAUCAACCUAUGUAGAUUUUGGUGAAAGAGAAUUUCUGGUUGCUGAUGAAAGAGGAUAUGAACAUUUGCUUUAUAAAAUGGCAGAAAAUUUUCUUUUCACCUGUGAGGGUAAAAUUAUGGACAGUCGACUCAAGCUCAAUACGGUUGUUCGGGAAGUGCAGCACUCGAGAAACGGCGUCUUGGUGACAACAGAAGAUGGUUCCCUUUACGAAGCCAAUUAUGUCAUUUUGUCUGUUAGCAUUGGCGUUCUCCAAAGCGACCUCAUUUCAUUCUCACCCUCUUUACCGAGAUGGAAGAUGGAAGCCGUCAGAAACUUGGACGUGAUGGUUUAUACAAAGAUCUUUCUCAAGUUCCCUAACAAGUUCUGGCCUUGUGAACCUGAAAAGGAGUUCUUCAUCUAUGCUCACGAGCGAAGAGGCUACUAUACGUUCUGGCAGCACAUGGAAAAUGCUUAUCCGGGAUCCAAUAUGCUGGUGGUAACCCUGACAAAUGGUGAGUCAAAACGUGUGGAAGCUCAAUCUGAUCAAGACACAUUAAGAGAAGCAAUGGAAGUGUUAAGAAACAUGUUUGGGCCCGACAUUCCUGAUGCCACCGACAUAUUAGUCCCACGUUGGUGGAAUAACCGGUUCCAGCGUGGUAGCUACAGUAAUUACCCCAUAUAUGCAAAUCAUCAACUCGUCCAUGAUAUUAAGGAACCAGUGGGGCGGAUAUUUUUCACAGGAGAACACACAAGUGAAAAAUUUAGUGGCUAUGUCCAUGGAGGUUACCUUUCAGGUAUAGACACUAGCAACGCUUUACUUGAGAAAAUGCGAAGGGAUGAUGGAAGGAAGAAUGAGAGUCAAGCGUUUCUGUUAGAACCAUUGCUAGCAUUAACAGGCUCUUUGACACUGACACAAGCUGAGACUGUAUCAAGUCUCCACAAAUGUGAUAUUCCGCGACAACUCUUCCUUAGUAACAGCAAAUUGGGACUUCCAGAGGCUAUCUUAUGAGACUAAGUGAACCUCUGCUGGAUAAAAUUUACGCUGACAUAUGUUGCUAUCCAUCCAACCACGGAUAAACUCGAUUUGCUGGAGGUCUGACAAAAAGACGGUACGAGUCCUUUGUUCUAUUAACAGAAAAAAGGAGCAAAGAAACUUGAGAGAAGGAUAUAGGGUAGUUUCCAGGAUAUUCAUUCUGAAAUUCUUCAUUGCAGAUACAUACAAUUGUUAUUAGGAGUAAAG
rnacentral:misc_RNA from 1 species